rnacentral:rRNA from 1 species
GACGAACGCUGGCGGCGUGCUUAACACAUGCAAGUCGAACGGAAAGGCUCCAGCUUGCUGGAGUACUCGAGUGGCGAACGGGUGAGUAACACGUGGGUAAUCUGCCCUGCACUCUGGGAUAAGCCUGGGAAACUGGGUCUAAUACUGGAUAUGACCUUUCUCCUUAUGGGGUUUGGUGGAAAGUUUUUCGGUGUAGGAUGAGCCCGCAGCCUAUCAGCUUGUUGGUGGGGUGAUGGCCUACCAAGGCGACGACGGGUAGCCGGCCUGAGAGGGUGAUCGGCCACAUUGGGACUGAGAUACGGCCCAGACUCCUACGGGAGGCAGCAGUGGGGAAUAUUGCACAAUGGGCGGAAGCCUGAUGCAGCGACGCCGCGUGAGGGAUGACGGCCUUCGGGUUGUAAACCUCUUUCAGCAGGGACGAAGCGUAAGUGACGGUACCUGCAGAAGAAGCACCGGCUAACUAUGUG